rnacentral:rRNA from 1 species
GACGAACGCUGGCGGCGUGCUUAACACAUGCAAGUCGAACGGAAAGGCCUCUUUCGGGGGGUACUCGAGUGGCGAACGGGUGAGUAACACGUGAGUAACCUGCCCUUGACUUUGGGAUAACUUCAGGAAACUGGGGCUAAUACCGGAUAGGAGCUCCUGCUGCAUGGUGGGGGUUGGAAAGUUUCGGCGGUUGGGGAUGGACUCGCGGCUUAUCAGCUUGUUGGUGGGGUAGUGGCUUACCAAGGCUUUGACGGGUAGCCGGCCUGAGAGGGUGACCGGCCACAUUGGGACUGAGAUACGGCCCAGACUCCUACGGGAGGCAGCAGUGGGGAAUAUUGCACAAUGGGUGGAAGCCUGGUGCAGCAACGCCGUGUGCGGGAUGACGGCCUUCGGGUUGUAAACCGCUUUCGCUCAUGACGAAGCUUUGUGUGACGGUAGUGGGUAAAGAAGCACCGGCUAACUACGUG